GGGGCGUUAGUAAAACUAUUACAUAGCCUUGUCAAGGCUAAAUUACAGAUGAAAACCCUGUACUCCCCA
rnacentral:tRNA from 1 species